rnacentral:lncRNA from 1 species
CAAUACCAAAUACCCAUCAAGCUAACCCUAGGAACCCUUCUAGACUCUUCUUGGGAACAAAAAAAAAUAAAAAGACCCUAAGGACCUAAGAGCAAAAAAGAACCUAGACCUAGACCUAUACAAUAUAGGCAACGCCUAAAAUCCAAAAAGGGGGCUGGAAAAUCACGCUAGACCAAGACACUCUGCAAAAAUCUGAUCCGCCAUUUUCAGCAGACCAAAACGACCCCCUCCCCUGAUGUUCAUCUUCUUCGUAUCCCCCACCCCCUGAAACCAACGACCACCUAACGCCUAUGUGCUAAAAACCUAUCCUUCUCUUCAGAAGCUACAACGGCAACCAUAAACAUACGACCCAAAGCCAUCCCUCCUCACCAUCAAGAACACCCAGAUACAAACACACACAAAGAUAGAUAUAGGAACGGACAGAAGCAACUGAGAUCGAAAUUUUGUCAUUCGAAAACUUCAAUUGAGAUCACUUCCCAAAAGUUGUUGAAGUCGAAAAUUUGUUGUUGUUGAUUGUUGAACUCAUUGCUGAGUUCAGUCCGAUCUGGUUUCAGUCAUCGUUGAAGAGUCGAGUUUGUUUCGAAGAGGUUUGGUCGAGUUUCGCCAGGAUUCCGGCGAAGCAUUUUGUUUUUCUGUUCGAGUUUUCUAGUUCCGUUCGAGUUGCCGGUGAGGUACCAGCCGUCACAUCUCUGUUCGAUUCCUUGUCUGUUAGUCGAGCUUCAAAGCAGUCUCGUGAAGUUUUCCGUUCAUUAAUUUUGAAAGAAGUAUUUAAGACUCUGCAAAGUUUCAUUCUCUUAUACUCUUAAACAAAUUUUGUAGCUUCGAUUAGCCUUAACAGUUUUUUUCGUUGAGUUACUUGCUUAACUGUGUUGAUGUCAGGUGAAGGAAACAUGUUGGACCCGUUAACUUAGAUAUUUUAUGGGCGUUAAUUUGCUGAUCAUGAAUGAGGACCUUAAUGAAAAUGUUUUCAAGGUUGACGGGCCAGAGUCCACGUUUGGUUUGCUGUUUUCAUGUCAUCUCUGUAUCUCCUAUUUCAUUUCGAUAAUGAAUUUGUCAAUUAAACCUUAUGUUGCAUUUCUUGGUUAAUUUGUUUGGAAUCUGAUUGUCUGCCUCAAUAACGUUUUAGUAUAAGUGGCAUUUUUUUACAUGUAGUUAGACACAUAAUUCUAAAAUAGUGGAUCUUUUGUGAGAAAUUGUAAAUAUUUUUCUAGUACUUAGUGAUAAAAUUGAUCUCGUAGCAAUCCUUCAUAUGGAAUCCUACACUUUUUCCACAACCAUUUCGACCGUAGUUUUCUUUAGGCACGUUUAAUUAAAUAAAUUAUCAUAGCUACGGGUACGGUUCCUGUGAUGUAAUUGUGAGGCCUAAUUUCUAAAAUUCAGGGGUGCAUAUAAUUGAAACAAGGUUAAAUAGAACACGUCGUGAACCGCAGGUGCAUUUCAUGUGGUGUGGCUUGCGAUAAUGUUUUAAAUAACCUUGAAUUAACUCUUUAAACAAAUAAAAGUGGUUUUAAAGUUAGAAAUGCACAUAGGUUUAAAAGUGUUUUAAAAUUAGAUAACUAAGCCAAUAAUAACAGUUGAGGGACCGUGUUAGAACCACGGAACUCGUGAAUGCCUAACACCUUCUCCCGGGUUAACAAAAUUCCUUACCCAGAUUUCUGUGUUCGCGGACUGUAAAACAGAGUCAAUCUUUUCCUCGAUUUGGGAUUCUAAACCGAUGACUUGGGACACCAUAAAUUAUCCCAAGUGGCGACUCUGAAUUUUAAUUAAAUAAUCCCGUUUCGAUUAUCACUUUAAGUUGGAAAUAAUCCCGUUUCGAUUGUUUGCAUCACGUGCAUCUGACUUUGGGGACUCAACACAGGGAUUGAGUCCGUCUAGGACAGGUGUACCCAAAGUAUAUAAGACCAUCAUGAUGCAUCUUAUGUGCUACAUGUUGCAAUUUUCAAGGGUAAAAGGGUCAUUUGGCGGACCAAUGAUAGUUGAGAGCAAAUGAAAAAGAAAAAAAAAGGAAAAAAAAAAGAGAGGGUGAAGUGUGAAAAUAAAGCAAGUAGGGCCCAAUUAUGUUUUCUGUCACAUUUUGUUAAGAAAAAAACAUGAAAAUUCAAAAAGGAUUUUGCACUUUUUCAUAAUUUUUCGAAAAUCAAAAAAUCAAAAAAAGGGGGAAAAGAAAAUCUAAAAAGAGUUUACAUGUUUCAUCAUUUUUCAAAACAAAAGACAAACAAUAUAUUUUCUCUAAAUUAGCCGUUAUUUUAAUUCUCGCCCCUAUCCAAUCUUCCCGAAUUACGCAUACCUGAUUCUCGUCUUUCGGGGCGGGAUACGUAGGCAACCCACAUAAGGUCCGGUCUUCCUAGUAAAUCAUAGGUUCUUGGUUUUGCGGGGUCUUAGCCAUAUUUUACACUUCUAGCUACCUUUUGGCCACAUAAGUCGUUUUGCAAAAAUAGCCUCAACCAUGUCUUGCAUGUGUCUAGUAGGGAAUGGUAUUGUCUCACGUAGUGUUGGUUUUAGUUUUCUCAUACAGGUAUGGAUCCACUUACCGCUUACCGGAGUUUGAGCAUGAUAGAGCCCCAGGACCAUCUAGUCAGGAUCGCUCAUUCAGGAUUGGAUUAAAAGAAGAUUUUAUGUUUUUUUUUAUGUUUUGAGUCUGUUUUUCUUUUUAUGUUGUCUUUUUACCUUCUAGUUUUGUAUAAUAAUGUCG